AUUGAACGCUGGCGGCAGGCCUAACACAUGCAAGUCGAGCGGCAGCGGGAAAGUAGCUUGCUACUUUUGCCGGCGAGCGGCGGACGGGUGAGUGAUGCCUGGGAAAUUGCCCAGUCGAGGGGGAUAACAGUUGGAAACGACUGCUAAUACCGCAUACGCCCUACGGGGGAAAGCAGGGGACCUUCGGGCCUUGCGCGAUUGGAUAUGCCCAGGUGGGAUUAGCUAGUUGGUGAGGUAAUGGCUCACCAAGGCGACGAUCCCUCGCUGGUCUGAGAGGAUGAUCAGCCAAACUGGGACUGAGACACGGUCCAGACUCCUACGGGAGGCAGCAGUGGUGAAUAUUGCACACUGGGGGAAACCCUGAUGCAGCCAUGCCGCGUGUGUGAAGAAGGCCUUCGGGUUGUAAAGCACUUUCAGCGAGGAGGAAAGGUUGAUGCCUAAUACGUAUCAACUGUGACGUUACUCGCAGAAGAAGCACCGGCUAACUCCGUGCCAGCAGCCGCGGUAAGAC
rnacentral:rRNA from 1 species